GACGAACGCUGGCGGCGUGCUUAACACAUGCAAGUCGAACAGUAAGGCCCUUCGGGGUACACGAGUGGCGAACGGGUGAGUAACACGUGGGUGAUCUGCCCUGCACUUCGGGAUAAGCCUGGGAAACUGGGUCUAAUACCGGAUAGGACUCCUGGCUUCAUGGUUGGGGGUGGAAAGCUUUUGCGGUGUGGGAUGGGCCCGCGGCCUAUCAGCUGGUUGGUGGGGUAAUGGCCUACCAAGGCGACGACGGGUAGCCGGCCUGAGAGGGUGACCGGUCACACUGGGACUGGGAUACGGCCCAGACUCCUACGGGAGGCAGCAGUGGGGAAUAUUGCACAAUGGGCGCAAGCCUGAUGCAGCGACGCCGCGUGAGGGAUGACGGCCUUCGGGUUGUAAACCUCUUUCAGCUAUGACGAAGCGCAAGUGACGGUAGUAGCAGAAGAAGGACCGGCCAACUACGUGCCAGCAGCCGCCGUAA
rnacentral:rRNA from 1 species